rnacentral:rRNA from 1 species
AGUCUGCAACUCGACUGCAUGAAGCUGGAAUCGCUAGUAAUCGCGGAUCAGAAUGCCGCGGUGAAUACGUUCCCGGGUCUUGUACACACCGCCCGUCACACCAUGGGAGCCGGUAAUACCCGAAGCCAGUAGUCUAACCGCAAGGGGGACGCUGUCGAAGGUAGGAUUGGCGACUGGGGUGAAGUCGUAACAAGGUAGC